GUUCCUAUAGUUAAAAUUAUAACAGCGGCUUUUCAGGCCGUAGGUCUCGGAGAAAAGCCGGGUAGGAAUU
rnacentral:tRNA from 1 species